rnacentral:lncRNA from 1 species
AGACAUUGGGAGAACAAACUCUAUGUAUAUAUGUGUUACGAAUUUUGUACAUAUAAAACUAUAUAUAUAUAAAGCUUUUUACAUAUCUAUAUAUUUAAUUUUUGAUGUGGUCUAUUCAUUUUAUUAUAGGCAAAGCUUAACUAUUAAGCUUAGCCUAUAAUUUUCAUUUAUAUAUGCUUAAUAUGCGUGUAAUAUAAAUAUAUUAUUGUAUCAGCAAAACAUGUAUUGAAAAACCUAUUAUUAUAUAUUAUAUAUAAACAAUAAACAGAACCGAAGAAGUGAACUAAAAAAAAAGAAAAAGAAACCCUUUAACACCGGUUGGCCGAACCGGGACUAAAGGGUGGGCCUUUAGUCCCGGAAGGGCAGCACCGGCUCGGGAACCGGGGCAACAGGCCCUUCCCGACCGGUGCUAAUGCCCGAUCAUGCAGCAGUGGUUA